rnacentral:rRNA from 1 species
UAAUACAGAGGAGGCAAGCGUUGUUCGGAAUCACUGGGCUUAAAGCGCGUGUAGGCGGUCGGGCAAGUACUUUGUGAAAUACCUGGGCUCAACCUGGGAAUUGCUUGGUAUACUGCUUGACUUGAGGCGGAUAGGGGUGCCUGGAACUCUUGGUGGAGCGGUGAAAUGCGUAGAUAUCAAGGGGAACGCCAGAGGCGAAAGCGGGGCACUGGGUCCGUCCUGACGCUGAGACGCGAAAGCGUAGGGAGCAAACGGGAUUAGAUACCCCGGUAGUCUACGCCGUAAACGAUGCGCACUAGACUUCUAUGUCUCUGACGGCAUGGGAGUCGAAAGAAAACCGAUAAGUGCGCCGCCUGGGGAGUACGGCCGCAAGGCUA